GAGGUGCGCCCCCCGCAAGAUGGCGGCAGCCGGGCCUCGGGCUGGGUGGGGGCGGAACUUGGCGGAAGUGCGCGCUACUCCCCUCGCAGAUGCAAGUGGGGAGGCUGUUUGUCCCACAGCGGGCAGGGGGAAGUCAGGAAAACGUAAAUAAAUCUGGAGGGGCGGACGGCUUGGGGGAAUCGCUGGACCGCUUGGGGCCGGGACCGGGGGCCAGUUCCGAGGCCUCGGCCCUGGGGCGGCUGCACCUGGCCCCGAGUCUCGGUGCACGUGGCCGGCCCAGCCGCCGCCUUUCCGAAGCUCUGGUUAAGUGGCACGUUUGUGGCCUCUUUUGACGUGACUGGCAAAAAGCUCCAUGGGAUUUCUCUGAAAUUCUAGGAAUUAAGUUUUUUUGUUUGUUUUUUUGCUAAUGGUUCUCAACAAAUUUUUAAGACACACAAAACACAUACUUUGGGGGCCAGUAGAAUUUGCUGCGGGAGAGCUCACUCUAGAAGGGGUUCUCAACGUCUGGCUUCCAGACGAGCAGCAACAGCAUUCACUGGGAACUUGCAUAAGUGGAAAUUAGGUGUUGCUCAGCCUUAGGAUUCAGAAACUCUAGGGCUGAGCCCAGCAAUCAGUGUGUUACAAGCCCUUCGGGUGAUUGUGAUGUUGGCUAAAGGUUGAGACCAGAGCUUCUCCUGAAUUCCUCUCCUGGGUUUACUCCUCCCUUUCUGCUUUUAGUUUUCUUGUUUGUAAAGCGGCAUAAUUAUGGCACCUGUAUCAGAGGGUUCUAAUGAGGAUAAUGAGUUAGUACAUGUACGAUGCCUGGAACAGUACCUGACACUUAGUAAGCACUUAAAUCUAUCCUGGUAGAAAGAGAAACCAAUGACUUUGGGCGAAGUUCCAAACUCUGUUUCCCAAUUUGUUGAGUGAACAUACUAGUAGCCCCACCUACAUAGACUUGUAAGGAUUAAAUGAGAUCGUGCAUGUGGAAUGCUUAACUCGUGCUAGCCUCAUAGUAAUUGAUGCUUAACCUGUCUUCCUAGGGACACACUGCUGUUUGGGCAACCCUUUGUCAGGGCCUGUUAUCUCCCACUUGCAGAUCCAGGGCAUUUCAGAGGUCAGAGAGAGGAGGGAGGCCUCUUCUGAGAUUUUGACCUCUAUUCAGGUAAGUGUAUUCCCUCUGAAAGACUGAACUUUUCUUUCCCUUUUUUUUUUAGACGGAGUUUUGCUCUUCUUGCCCAGGCUGGAGUGCAUUGGCGCAAUCUCAGCUCAUUGCAACCUCCAUCUCCCAGGUUCAAGCAAUUCUCCUGCCUCAGCCUCUUGAGUAGCUGGGAUUACAGACACCCGCCACC
rnacentral:lncRNA from 10 species